rnacentral:rRNA from 1 species
GACGGGUGAGUAACGCGUGGGUAACCUGCCUCAUACAGGGGGAUAACAGUUAGAAAUGACUGCUAAUACCGCAUAAGCGCACAGUGCUGCAUGGCACAGUGUGAAAAACUCCGGUGGUAUGAGAUGGACCCGCGUCUGAUUAGCUAGUUGGUGGGGUAACGGCCUACCAAGGCGACGAUCAGUAGCCGGCCUGAGAGGGUGAACGGCCACAUUGGGACUGAGACACGGCCCAAACUCCUACGGGAGGCAGCAUG